rnacentral:lncRNA from 1 species
CAGCGGUGGGCUGAAGGGCUCCUCAAGUGCCGCCAAAGUGGGAGCCCAGGCAGAGGAGGCGCAGAGAGCGAGGGAGGGCUGUGAGGACUGCCAGCAUGCUGUUACCUCUCAAUAAGGAAUUCAAGGUCUCCUUGGGAGUCUCAUGUCCUUGCCAAGCCUUCGCCAGGCUCUCGCCACUGCCGUUCCUCUACCAGCCCAAGUCUACAUUCUGAGGCUCUAGGAACACGAGAGAGAACUCCAGUGCUCACAUCCCAUAUUGACCCUCUUUAUGUUCUUCAAUUACCACCUACCUGAAAAAGCCUCAAAGUCUCAGGGGAACAUUCUGGAGUCCCUGCUGCUGAAGAGGGUUUUUUGAGUUUUGGUCGUCUUCCAAAGUUUAUUGUAUGAAGUCUUAGUGCUUCACUGGAGUUUGUCAUAUGUCUGGAUAAUAAAUAAGUUUCAAAAAUGUAACUAACAUAAGUUCCAGUUGAAUUUCCAAGGCUAGCAGAAUUGUGUUCUUCUUCCUCUCCCUUUCCCUCUCCCUGCCUCCACCAACUGCCACAGCGUAUAUU